rnacentral:rRNA from 1 species
CCUACGGGUGGCAGCAGUGAGGAAUAUUGGUCAAUGGGCGCUAGCCUGAACCAGCCAAGUAGCGUGAAGGAUGACUGCCCUAUGGGUUGUAAACUUCUUUUAUAUGGGAAUAAAGUGCAGUAUGUAUACUGCUUUGCAUGUACCUUAUGAAUAAGGAUCGGCUAACUCCGUGCCAGCAGCCGCGGUAAUACGGAGGAUUCGAGCGUUAUCCGGAUUUAUUGGGUUUAAAGGGAGCGUAGGCGGGUUGUUAAGUCAGUUGUGAAAGUUUGCGGCUCAACCGUAAAAUUGCAGUUGAUACUGGCAGCCUUGAGUACAGUAGAGGUAGGCGGAAUGCGAUGUGUAGCGGUGAAAUGCGUAGAUAUAACGAAGAACACCAGUGGCGAAGGCGACGAUCUGGCCUGCAACUGACGCUCAGGCCCGAAAGCGUGGGGAGCAAAUAGGAUUAGAUACCCCAGUAGUC